UUGUCCUCAUGCCAUGAGGGACAUGAGGACAGUCAAUGGCCCAAUGGCCCUCUCGAUGGCAC
rnacentral:pre_miRNA from 1 species